GACGAACGCUGGCGGCGUGCUUAACACAUGCAAGUCGAACGAUGAACCCGGAGCUUGCUCUGGGGGAUUAGUGGCGAACGGGUGAGUAACACGUGAGUAACCUGCCCUGGACUCUGGGAUAAGCGUUGGAAACGACGUCUAAUACCGGAUAGGACCUUGGAUCGCAUGAUCUGGGGUGGAAAGUUUUUUCGGUCUGGGAUGGACUCGCGGCCUAUCAGCUUGUUGGCGAGGUAAUGGCUCACCAAGGCGUCGACGGGUAGCCGGCCUGAGAGGGUGACCGGCCACACUGGGACUGAGACACGGCCCAGACUCCUACGGGAGGCAGCAGUGGGGAAUAUUGCACAAUGGGCGAAAGCCUGAUGCAGCAACGCCGCGUGCGGGAUGACGGCCUUCGGGUUGUAAACCGCUUUUAGUAGGGAAGAAGGGCUUCGGCUUGACGGUACCUGCAGAAAAAGGACCGGCUAACUACGUG
rnacentral:rRNA from 1 species